rnacentral:rRNA from 1 species
UGCGAGUCAUUGUAGCAAUACAAGGCAGACGGCUCAGUAACGCGUAGUCAAUCUACCCUAUGGACGGGAAUAACCUCGGGAAACUGAGAAUAAUGCCCGACAGAACAUUAUACCUGGAACGGUUUAUGUUUCAAAUGAUUUAUCGCCGUAGGAUGGGACUGCGGCCUAUCAGUUCGUUGGUGAGGUAAUGGCCCACCAAGACUAUUACAGGUACGGGCUCUGAGAGGAGUAGCCCGGAGAUGGGUACUGAGACACGGACCCAGGCCCUAUGGGGCGCAGCAGGCGAGAAAACUUUGCAAUGUGCGAAAGCACGACAAGGUUAAUCCGAGUGGUUCCUGCUAAAGAAACCUUUUGCUAGUCCUAGAAACACUAGUGAAUAAGGGGUGGGCAAGUUCUGGUGUCAGCCGCCGCGGUAAAACCAGCACCUCAAGUGGUCAGGAUGAUUAUUGGGCCUAAAGCAUCCGUAGCUCGUUUUGUAAGUUUUCGGUUAAAUCCAUACGCUUAACGUAUGGGCUGCCGGGAAUACUGCAUAACUAGGAAGUGGGAGAGGUAGACGGUACUCGGUAGGAAGGGGUAAAAUCCUUUGAUCUAUUGAUGACCACCUGUGGCGAAGGCGGUCUACCAGAACACGUUCGACGGUGAGGGAUGAAAGCUGGGGGAGCAAACCGGAUUAGAUACCCGGGUAGUCCCAGCUGUAAACUAUGCAAACUCAGUGAUGCAUUGGCUUGUGGCCAAUGCAGUGCUGCAGGGAAGCCGUUAAGUUUGCCGCCUGGGAAGUACGUACGCAAGUAUGAAACUUAAAGGAAUUGGCGGG